rnacentral:rRNA from 1 species
UACGUAGGGGGCAAGCGUUGUCCGGAUUUACUGGGCGUAAAGAGCGUGUAGGCGCCAGACAGGUCCGUUGUGAAAACUGGAGGCUCAACCUUCAGACGUCGACGGAAACCGUCUGGCUAGAGUCCGGAAGAGGAGAGUGGAAUUCCUGGUGUAGCGGUGAAAUGCGCAGAUAUCAGGAAGAACACCGAUGCGAAGGCAGCUCUCUGGGACGGUACUGACGCUGAGACGCGAAAGCGUGGGGAGCGAAGCAGG